rnacentral:rRNA from 1 species
AUUGAACGCUGGCGGCAGGCCUAACACAUGCAAGUCGAACGAGUGGCGGACGGGUGAGUAAUGUAUGGGAAACUGCCUGAUGGAGGGGGAUAACUACUGGAAACGGUAGCUAAUACCGCAUACCAUCAGAUGUGCCCAGUUGGGUUUAGCUUGUUGUGGGGGUAACGGCUCACCAAGGCGACGAUCCCUACCUGGUCUGAGAGGAUGACCAGCAACACUGGAACUGAGACACGGUCCAGACUCCUACGGGAGGCAGCAGUGGGGAAUAUUGCACAAUGGGCGAAAGCCUGAUCCAGCCAUGCCGCGUGUGUGAAGAAGGUCUUCGGAUUGUAAAGUACUUUCAGCGGGGAGGCGUUACCCACAGAAGAAGCACCGGCUAACUCCGUGCCAGCAGCCGCGGUAAUAC